CUGGAAUCAACCUCCCAGGGCACAGGACGCAGAACUGGGAACAACGUGAAGCUCCCUUCCUCAGGAACUUGAAUCAUAUUCCAAUUGAGAAAAUGAUUUUAUUACCCACAGUGGACAGCAUGUUUUUAAUGCCCGGGAUGCUGAAGAUUUAAUAAAUUCUGGCUUUAAUUGAGGAUUAUCUGUCUCACAUGUAAUCUUACAUGUCCAUCUUUCAGGUAUUGGAGUCGCCUCCUUGGCGUCUGGAGUCCUCCGCUGUCUCAUUGUGUCCUUGGAAGGAUGUUUCUGGGCAGCACAAUCUGGCCAGAGAUGGCAGGAGCCCACUGCCCCAUCUCCCCAACUACAGAUGAUGUUAAAGCUAAUAGUCAUCUUGAAACCCAAAGCUAGUCUCUACAUCUGCGCAAACCCAACCUGUGAGAAGUGGACUGGAAGCAAUGUCCCUGUCUUUGUAAGGAUUAUCCCUCACUGGGGGAAUUUCCUGUUAGGAAGGAGAGGAAGGUGGUACCAAGCCAGUGGAGAGAGAUUUUGAACAAAGCGUUGGAUCUUUCUACACCUCUCAGAUCACACCAUGUCCUGUUUCCCACCAGCAAACCAAACAUCUUGUUAAAACAGAGACAUCCACCUCAAGCUUGAGCUCAGAACUGCAGUCCGACUCCAGCCCUGCUAUUUACCAGCUACGUGACCUUUCACAGGGCAUGGCAGCGCUCUGAGAUUAGGUUUCCUCCUGUGGGACUUGGAGGGUGAACUUACUAGAUCAGAGGUGGAAGGAUGGCCUCCAACUUCGGGCUCUGCCACUCAGUUGCUGCGUGAACUUGGACGUGCUACUUGGCCCUUGAACUUCGAUUUCUAUAAAAUGUGGAUAAUAUUUCCUUACAGGGUGGUUGUGAGAGUGAGAUAAGAGAUGUAAAAUGCCUGGUAUGUAGGAUGUGUGGGUGUUUAAGCCUCGUUAGUGUCUUUUCCUGUCUCUUCACCUAUUUCUUUCUGGGUUGAUUUUGUUUGUGUUUUACUUUGUAAAAUUCGGGAAUGGUGAACUGAUUAUACAGAUCUCCUGCCUCUCAGAGUGCUUUAAAAACUGUAAAGCAGAAAGCAGGCAGUGUGAUUACUUUGGCACCAGGCAGGCAAAGGGCCCCAGGCUGUGAAUUUCUCUGACCUCUCUGAACUGUGCCUGAAUUCCAGAGGAGAGCUCUGUUUUUGUAGGUGGGAAUUGGGCAAACUUUUCCUGGAGCUCACCCCAGGCCAGCAGGGUGAAGGCUGAUGGCUCUUUAUCUUUGCACUGAGAGGCUCACAGAGCUGUCCAGGGAACGGGGAAUGGGUGAUGUUCUUCAGAGACACGGGAUGUUGGCUCACUCCCUCAGAAGGAGAGAAGCUUCUCUGGCCUUUGAAACAUAUUAUUGAAAACCCACUGACCUGCUAAGGACGCUGAUGCUAAUAAUCAAUAAUGAUGAGUGACACCUGCUGUUCACAUACAGUGGGCUGAGAUCAGAAUGCCUACAGGCUAGUACUUUUAAUUUCUAAAGAUUUUAUUGCAUUUCCUAGUCUCGGGGGCUCAGAAAACAAUACCCCAAAAUGAAGGCCUUAAAAGCAAAAUUUUUUUCUCUGACUUUCUCCUGCCCUCCUGUCUCCCAGUCCCAUUCUCCCCAGAGGCAAGGUAUAGAAACUAGAAUCCCUCUUUCCCAAGGUGGGUGAUAGAAACAAGAACCCCGUUUCGGUCUAUAAAACCAGUAUAUGGUGUCCCAUGAUCGCAUUAAUGUACACAGCUAUGAUUUAAUAAUAAAAAAAAUUUUUUUGCUUUCAAUAUUUAAAAAAAAAAAAGAACCCCGUUUCCCCAAAGCCAGCCAUAAAACCUCAAAACAUUGCUCCAAUGUUCUCUCCACCUUCAUGUGUAAAAACUGGCCAGAAAGAGAGUAUCUGACCUACUUUGUUUGACUAUAUGUGAUGAGAGCCCCUUCCAGAGAGGGCUUGCCCCCACCUGGAAGGAAGGAAUACGUGUUCAGAAGCCAAAAAGAAUCUAGACAAGGCCAGGCACGGGGGCUCAUACCUGUAAUCCUAGGACUCUGGGAGGCCGAGGCCAGUGGAUUUCUUGAGCUCAGGAGUUUGAGACCAGCCUGAGCCAGAGCAAGACCCCAUCUCUAUUAAAAAUAGAAAAACUAAGCGAAUAUGGUGGCAGGUGCCUAUAGUCCCAGCUACUGGGAGGCCGAGGCAAGAGGACUGCUCAAACCCAGAAGUCUGAUGUUGCUGUGAGCUGUGACACCAUGCCUUUAUCCAGGACACAGAGUGAGACUCUACCUCAAAAAAAAAAAAAAAAAAAAAGGAUAAUUUCUCCUGUACCAUUCAAUCCUCACUCUGAAGGCUCCUCUGUUAAAAUUUGUAAACCUUUUCUCCAUUUAAUCUGUCUUUGUGAGUUGAUUUUUCAGUGAAACUUCAGAAGGCAAAGGGGAAAUUUUCCUACACUAUAUCUUUUGAGGUUUUACUCCUGCAGACGCAGCUAGGUGUAAAAUAAAAGUUUUUAACCAGGCUCAGCACCCGUAGGUCAGUGGUUAGGGUGCCAGCCACAUACACUGGGGCUGGUGGAUUUGAACCCGGCCGGAGCCUGCUAAACAACAGUGACAACUGCAACCAAAAAUAGCCAGGUGUUGUGGUGGGUGUGUGUAGUCCCAGCUACUUGGGAGGCAGAGGCAAGAGAAUCACUUAAGCCCAAGAGUUUGAGGUUGCUGUGAGCUGUGAUGCCAUAGCACUCUACCUAAGGCCAUAGCUUGAGACUCUGUUUAAAAAAAAAAAAAAAUUUUUUUUUUCAACCAGCCACACUGAAAAGGCAAGAGGGAAGCAGUUAACCUAAAAAUUAGUAAUUUUAAUCUUUUAAUUAGUUUAGAAAUGAGCCGGUGAUGUACAUGGAAGUUUAGAAGAUUCAUUAAGACAGUAGGCCCAGCCACUCUGUGGAUUUCAGAGCUAUAUUAAACAAAUAUAGCCUGAGUUUUUUUUUUCCUCUAUCUUAGGAGGACAACCAUUGGUGAGAUGGUAUCUAGCAUACUUGCUAGCUCUAACUUUCCAAGGCCGGAUCCUUACAAAUUAAAAUCUAUGGGUUCAAACUUGUCCUCUUCCUUGGACAAGGGAGAAGAAAAGAAAGGUCCUGGUUUUUACAGAGCAACCAGCAUAUGUUAGGCACUGUGCAAGGCACUUUAUGUAUACAUUAACUGCUAGUGCAGCAUUGCAGUUAAUCUGACUAGUGAUCUUCAAAAGGCAGGCAUGCCAGCCACACCAUCACAAUGUUCUUUUACUUUUAUUUCAUCAAGGAAACAAGAAAGUAAUUUAAAGAAACUGCAGACAUAGGGCAGCGCCUGUGGCUCAGUCGGUAAGGCGCUAGCCCCAUAUACCGAGGGUGAUGGGUUCAAACUCGGCCCCGGCCAAACUGCAACC